rfam:Dictyostelium lacteum strain TK GAOABQK02HTB3S, whole genome shotgun sequence.
AUACUCUUGCCCGAGUUGGUUAUGGGGUUGCAUUAAGGCUGCAAUGUGAAAACGCGAGGGUUCGAGUCCCUCAGAGUACA